rnacentral:rRNA from 1 species
GAUGAACGCUGGCGGCGUGCCUAAUACAUGCAAGUCGAGCGAACAGACGAGGAGCUUGCUCCUCUGACGUUAGCGGCGGACGGGUGAGUAACACGUGGAUAACCUACCUAUAAGACUGGGAUAACUUCGGGAAACCGGAGCUAAUACCGGAUAAUAUAUUGAACCGCAUGGUUCAAUAGUGAAAGACGGUUUUGCUGUCACUUAUAGAUGGAUCCGCGCCGCAUUAGCUAGUUGGUAAGGUAACGGCUUACCAAGGCGACGAUGCGUAGCCGACCUGAGAGGAUGAUCAGCCACACUGGAACUGAGACACGGUCCAGACUCCUACGGGAGGCAGCAGUGGGGAAUAUUGGACAAUGGGCGAAAGCCUGAUGCAGCAAUGCCGCGUGUGUGAAGAAGGUCUUCGGAUUGUAAAGCACUUUAAGUGGGGAGGAAGGGCAGUAAGUUAAUACCUUGCUGUUUUGACGUUACCAACAGAAUAAGCACCGGCUAACUUCGUG